AGCGAACGCUGGCGGCAGGCCUAACACAUGCAAGUCGAGCGCCCGUAGCAAUACGGGAGCGGCAGACGGGUGAGUAACACGUGGGAACGUACCCUUCGGUUCGGAAUAACCCAGGGAAACUUGGAUUAAUACCGGAUACGUCCGUAAGGAGAAAGAUUUAUCGCCGAAGGAUCGGCCCGCGUCCGAUUAGCUUGUUGGUGGGGUAAUGGCCCACCAAGGCUACGAUCGGUAGCUGGUCUGAGAGGAUGAUCAGCCACACUGGGACUGAGACACGGCCCAGCCUCCUACGGGAGGCAGCAGUGGGGAAUAUUGGACAAUGGGCGCAAGCCUGAUCCAGCCAUGCCGCGUGGGUGAUGAAGGCCCUAGGGUUGUAAAGCCCUUUCGGCGGGGAAGAUAAUGACGGUACCCGCAGAAGAAGCCCCGGCUAACUUCGUGCCAGCCGCCGCAGUAAAAC
rnacentral:rRNA from 1 species